rnacentral:lncRNA from 1 species
ACUGCUCACCAUUUCUGAGCCGAUGAGGACUCACCUGGGCUCCUCACUGGUCAGGGAACUGUGGCCCAGCCGCAGAGUGAUUGCUUUGUCAAGAAGGGAAACAUUUACCUUUCCUUCUUCCCUCUGCUCUCUCCUAAUUAACAAUUAAAUGGAAGGAGUUGAAAAGACAUGUCAGAGACUUCAAUCUCCUCCCGGCCUGAGGAUGAAGGGGGCUCGAACCUGAAUGUUCUCUUCGCUGUGGCCAGAACCUAGGGGGCUGGGGUUGCUGCCAGCUCGACUGGAGGCCUGCUUCCAGCCCCAGGCUGUGGUGAGGGGCCUCACAGAUUUCACAAACAGGAGGGCGGCUGACCAAGCGCCAAACUAUUUAGACAAACACACACCCUCCCUUCCCGCCAGAGUUUGGGCUGAUUUCUCCCAAUGCUAAUGAACAGCUCAUAAGUAUUAAUAGACUCCUUGGCACCUAGGAGUCAGGCAGAGUAACUUCCAGUGUGAAUUUUGGCCAAGGACCCUGAUGCAGCCUCAGGAUCUUCCAAGCCCCUGUUGAGUCCAGGGGGCAUGAGACACACAGGGAGGCUGGGGCUGCUCCCAGGAAGCAGGCUCACAAGAGCCAGACAGGCUCCCACAGACAGCUUUUAGGUCACAGAAACCUCUGCCUGCCAGGUAGGCAUGAACACAGAAACCCUCCCAAAUCCUCAGACUGUGGAGCACACUCCAGGUGAGCCAGGAUCAAUCCCUGGUCUCAGAGAACACUUAGAUGGGGGUGAAAAGCAGGAACUGAGAGCUUCCCACCCAGCACCUGUCCCUGCUACCAGCUAAACCUGUGUCGGUCAGUGCAGGAAUUGUACAGGUGAUGCUCUGAGCCUGUGCUGAGGCCAUGUAUGGACUGAGGAAACCUCACUGUGUGUAUGUAAAGUUAAUUCAAACCUAUUUCCCUGAGUGCUUACAUAUUUUCAUAAGGAAAGUUCUGUUAGGAGAGCUGCCUGAAACAACACCUCUGCCUGUGCUCCCACUUUCUCCCGCUGGUGUGGGGAGGAGAGGCUGACAUCGCUGGGUCCACGUUCCUCUGCCCUGGGUGGGGUAUUAAUGCUGCCAUUCCCACGCUGCCUGCUGUUUCCCCUCAUCCUCAGGAGGGCUGGUCUCUGUGCUGCAGGCAGCUCCACCAGGCCUGGGAGCAUGACACCGUCUGCCAAUGCCUUGCCCAGGUCCACUGGCCUCACCCUUCCGCAGGCCUGCGCCUUCUGUGACUCUCUGCCUCAGCAAUUUCUCUGGAUUUCUUUGUCCUCAGGAAUGUGCUGGGGCCACAGGCAGGUCAGGCCAGGCUUUCUGGGGAGUGAAUGCUCUCUGCCAGUGGCGGAUGGAACUGGUAGACACGUCCCCCGGAUUCCUCGCCUGCAAGUGGGAUGGUGCCAGGAAAGUUCUACACCAUCCUUCCCAGGUCCCAGGAGGACAAGCACAGUUGUCCACAAGGGAACCAAGAGGAUGUUGAAAAAUCCUGGUUGGAUCUGAACUUGGAAACAAAUUUGAGGAAUCUAUUUUACUUAAUCCUACUGAAAAAUUCCCUAAUGAGUUAAAGAAGAACAAAGUAAAAGAAGAUAAAAAAGCAGUUGGUACUUGAAAUGAAGAUCAAAUCAUCAAGUCCUAUAUGUCACCCACAGAUCUGAGAUCACUGACUCCCAGAGACACCCAGUUUCUCAGUGUCAGUACACACUGCCUGGGUUAGUAAGCACAGGCUGAGACCUGGGAGGAAUUGAUGAACCAAAUGUGUCUGGGCUUUUCACUUCCUCGGCAUGAGUCAGCCAAGAAAGCCCACCUCUCCUCCCCAGCAGCGUGCAGGGCCUCUGCAGAUAAAUGUGCAGGAUAGCAGACCUGGGUGUGGUGCUGCCUGGCACUGAGCCAGCCCCCAGAUUCUUUGGCUGCAGAGUGGCCUGGCCAACUCACACAGGUAGCGCCCUUUUAUUCUUGGAAAAGGAAGCACCAGGUGGAAAGGGAGGUUAAAGGAGGGAACACAACUUUUUUCCAGACCCCUCUGCCCAGGAUGUUAAAGGUUGCUGGAAAAUGCCUUUGGUGGCUUUAAAUGUCACAGAUGACAUAUUCCAGGAUGGAUCCAGCCUCCACUGGACUUGGCCCCUCUAUUUUGAUUCCUGCCUUUCCCCAGCCUCAGCCCUGAGCGGCAUAAUAUCUACACGGGGUUAGCUGCAGGUGGAACUCAGAACACAGCUCCUAGACAAGUAGAGUGAGGCCUAUGGCUUCAUCAUCAAAAUGUAAAAUUUAAAAGCAAGGACCCACAUGUGGAGGCUCCUGAUCCCUGAACUGAAAGUCGACUCUCCAGUGCAACAUCAGUCAAAGAACAUUUAGUCAACCUGAACUGGGAGCACAGCGCUCCUGGGGCUGUUGGGCAUUCAAAAGAGUGUGGAUCAGUGUUAAAAGUGCUUCAUGGAGAAAUGGAGGCCUGAAAGCGACUCUGAAGGAGGAGUGGGGCUCAGCAAACAGCAGACGAGUUUCAAUCCAAGCACCCAUUACCCCCCUAACACACGGCAUACGUGCAUCUCAUCUCCUCCUGUGUCGCUAAGAAGCUACCCAUAUGUCUGUCAUUAAUUCUCCAGAAUCCUUGGACACACCCCUCUGCAGAGCUUUCUAACAGGAAAUACAAGUCUCAGAUUUUUUUUUAAGUUAAAAUUGAGUG